GAAAAGCAUUUCGCAUAGAAACACGACAGAGCUUCAUAUUAAUUGUAUCCCCGACACGGACAGCUCCAAAAGUGUUUAAGGUCACGCGAAUUGCAAUGACAUGGUCUUGCUUCCAAAAAAAAAUCGAGCCUAAACGGGGCGUCGGCCUCGCACAGACCACCCCCUCGCAAUCAAGGACAAAUGGGCUUUUGGACACAAUGACACAAAGCAAAGGCGGAAGUGCGCUACAAUCCGUACACUGGCCAUGUUAGUGGCCGAAGCAAAAUACUUUAGGUUUAGAACCAAACCCAAAGACUUUUACACAUACAUAUACAUACAUAUGUAGAGCUUACAACAGUCUUUAUCGUCAGUUGCGUUGUCGUUUCUUCCAUUUCUCUGCAUUUGCGUGUUUGAUAUGGUCGCUGUUGCUGUCGUUGUUGCCUCACACAUUCACCAAUUGAGAGUUGAGGUUUGAGGGAUUUAAUACCUUUAUUGAUUGAAACAGGCUCACUUAUGUACAUAUUUAGCUAGAUAUCUUCGCAGUUAUAGCAGAGUCAACUUUGGCGCUUAAGAAUUCACUCUCACCUGUUUCACUAAUAUCCUUGGCGGAGUAUCCUUGGCAAUGAAUAAUGUGCAGCUUUGAUGAAUCAGUCGGAAAUUAGCGCAUUUAUGCCGAAUUUUGAUAUAUUUUACUUAAUUAUUGAGUUAGUUUAAACUUAUUUUAUGCAAUUCAAACUUAAAGUAAGCAGGGGCAGCAACAAAACAAAAACAGCGAAA